rnacentral:rRNA from 1 species
CGAGAGAACCGGGGUGGACGGACCGAUGGUGUAUCAGUUGUCGUGCCAACGGCACAGCUGAGUAGCCAAGUCCGGCAGGGAUAAGCACUGAAAGCAUCUAAGCGCGAAGCCCCCCUUAAGAUUAGGUAUCCCACUCGCAAGAGGUAAGACACCGGGAAGACUACCCGGUUGAUAGGUCAGAAGUGUAAGGGCUGUGAGGCCUUGAGCUGACUGAUACUAAUAUGUCGAGGGCUUGACCCAA